rnacentral:tRNA from 1 species
GAGGGUAUAGCUUAGUGGUAGAGUGUGUGCAUAGCAUGCACAAGAUCCUGGGUUCAAUCCCUAGUACUUCCA